rnacentral:rRNA from 1 species
CAUGCAGUCGAGGGGCAGCAUUUCAGUUUGCUUGCAAACUGGAGAUGGCGACCGGCGCACGGGUGAGUAACACGUAUCCAACCUGCCGAUAACUCGGGGAUAGCCUUUCGAAAGAAAGAUUAAUACCCGAUGGUAUAAUUAGACCGCAUGGUCUUGUUAUUAAAGAAUUUCGGUUAUCGAUGGGGAUGCGUUCCAUUAGGCAGUUGGUGAGGUAACGGCUCACCAAACCUUCGAUGGAUAGGGGUUCUGAGAGGAAGGUCCCCCACAUUGGAACUGAGACACGGUCCAAACUCCUACGGGAGGCAGCAGUGAGGAAUAUUGGUCAAUGGGCGCAGGCCUGAACCAGCCAAGUAGCGCGAAGGAUGACUGCCCUAUGGGUUGUAAACUUCUUUUAUAUGGGAAUAAAGUUUUCCACGUGUGGAAUUUUGUAUGUACCAUAUGAAUAAGGAUCGGCUAACUCCGUGCCAGCAGCCGCGGUAAUACGGAGGAUCCGAGCGUUAUCCGGAUUUAUUGGGUUUAAAGGGAGCGUAGGUGGACAGUUAAGUCAGUUGUGAAAGUUUGCGGCUCAACCGUAAAAUUGCAGUUGAUACUGGCUGUCUUGAGUACAGUAGAGGUGGGCGGAAUUCGUGGUGUAGCGGUGAAAUGCUUAGAUAUCACGAAGAACUCCGAUUGCGAAGGCAGCUCACUGGACUGCAACUGACACUGAUGCUCGAAAGUGUGGGUAUCAAACAGGAUUAGAUACCCUGUAGUCCACACAGUAAACGAUGAAUACUCGCUGUUUGCGAAUAUAACAGUAAGCGGCCAAGCGAAAGCAUUAA